rnacentral:rRNA from 1 species
CCUACGGGCGGCAGCAGUGGGGAAUAUUGCACAAUGGGGGAAACCCUGAUGCAGCGACGCCGCGUGAGUGAAGAAGUAAUUCGUUACGUAAAGCUCUAUCAGCAGGGAAGAAAUACUGACCUUACGGUCAGCAGACGGUACCUGAGUCAGAAGCCGCGGCUAACUACGUGCCAGCAGCCGCGGUAAUACGUAGGGGGCAAGCGUUAUCCGGAUUUAUUGGGUGUAAAGGGAGCGUAGGCGGUGCGCCAAGUCUGGAGUGAAAUGCCGCAGCUUAACUGCGGAACUGCUUUGGAGACUAGCGAGCUAGAAUGCGGGAGGGGUAAGCGGAAUUCCUAGUGUAGCGGUGAAAUGCGUAGAUAUUAGGAGGAACACCGGUGGCGAAGGCGGCUUACUGGACCGUAACUGACGUUGAGGCUCGAAAGCGUGGGGAGCAAACGGGAUUAGAUACCCGAGUAGUC